rnacentral:ncRNA from 1 species
AAAUAUACAUCAAUAAACGGCAAAGACUGAAACGAAGCCCGGUGACUUGCGCGUUGAGCAAGAAGGCCGGCGCUGUCCCGCAACUGUGAGGAGCGACGUGAUUUCCACCCGCUCUGAGCCAGACCGUUCGUCUUUGUUGCGC